CAGGGGGCUCGGUGUGAAGUUUCAUGCCCUUCGUUGUUGCUUUGCAAAGCAUUGGUGCAUUUGGCUCUCUGGUCCAUCUGACGUACACAUGUAUUAUGCUGGGGUUCUUGUGCUCAGAGGGUGGAUAACCGUGCUCUACAAAGAAGACCUGGAAAGGACUUUGCAGGCUGCUGCAUGAGGCUCCUGCAGCCAUGUCCUGGACUCGCUCUGUCACAGCAGUGUGCCAGCAGCUCCAUCCUGCAGGGCUCAGCAGGGCACGGCAGAGAUCCAGGCGGUCAGAAUGAGAAGAGUCAUGAUGCAAAACCAUGUGAAGAGCAAACACCACAGCUGGCCCUUCCACCAGCCGGCCAGGUAGAUACACCUUCAGCUCCUACACUACAAACUGCCUGAAGACUGCAU
rnacentral:lncRNA from 1 species